rnacentral:rRNA from 1 species
AGAGUUUGAUCCUGGCUCAGAUUCCACGCUGGCGGCAGGCCUAACACAUGCAAGUCGAGCGGCAGCACAAGGGAGUUUACUCCUGAGGUGGCGAGCGGCGGACGGGUGAGUAAUGCCUAGGGAUCUGCCCAGUCGAGGGGGAUAACAGUUGGAAACGACUGCUAAUACCGCAUACGCCCUACGGGGGAAAGGAGGGGACCUUUUGGCCUUCCGCGAUUGGAUGAACCUAGGUGGGAUUAGCUAGUUGGUGAGGUAAUGGCUCACCAAGGCGACGAUCCCUAGCUGUUCUGAGAGGAUGAUCAGCCACACUGGGACUGAGACACGGCCCAGACUCCUACGGGAGGCAGCAGUGGGGAAUAUUGCACAAUGGGGGAAACCCUGAUGCAGCCAUGCCGCGUGUGUGAAGAAGGCCCUUCGGGUUGUAAAGCACUUUCAGUAGGGAGGAAAGGGUAAGUCUUAAUACGGCUUAUCUGUGACGUUACCUACAGAAGAAGGACCGGCUAACUCCGUGCCAGCAGCCGCGGUAAUACGGAGGGUCCGAGCGUUAAUCGGAAUUACUGGGCGUAAAGCGUGCGCAGGCGGUUUGUUAAGCGAGAUGUGAAAGCCCUGGGCUCAACCUAGGAAUAGCAUUUCGAACUGACAAACUAGAGUCUUGUAGAGGGGGGUAGAAUUCCAGGUGUAGCGGUGAAAUGCGUAGAGAUCUGGAGGAAUACCGGUGGCGAAGGCGGCCCCCUGGACAAAGACUGACGCUCAUGCACGAAAGCGUGGGGAGCAAACAGGAUA